UAUUUCCGUCGGAGUCUAUGAAUCGAUCUCUCCCUCCCCGCAACUGCUCCACUUCUUCUCUCUCAUCCGUUCCUCUCUGAACUAAACGUAAACCUUCAGACAUUACUGAUCAAUCAGUGAAGAUCUUUAAGCUCCUAUUAAUUGUUUCGUUCCACUUUCCAUUCAUCCUCUUCCUAUAUAAAUCGUUGUGUCUACCCCUUAACUCCGCAGAAAAUCAGAACCUACUCUGAAAUAGCUACAGCCAUGGCUAUGAAAUCGAUUGGAAAAUCUCAGCUUUUUACUUCAGCGUCGCCUCACCAGGUCCAGCCGGAUCAAGCGAAAUCAGAGCUCUUGAUCCACUUCUAGGAAGUCAGAAACAUUGCAAAAGGUGGAACCUUUAUGGACUAGAGAUGCUCCUUUUCGACGAACAUGUAUGCCUACUUAUCCCUUAUUUUUCUUUAAUUUGAGUAUAUAACAAUCUCUGUGUGUUAUAUUGAAAGUCCAGUUCGGCUUAAAAUGAUUGUAUUAGUUCAUUAUAACAAAAAAUAGCCUCAUGACUCAUUUAAUGCAAAAGAAGCAAGAAGAAGAAGAGAUGAUGCAAAGUCUCCAUUGUUGCCAUUAAGCAAGUUUUCAUGGCCAACACUUAACAAUGACUUUAUAAGCAGACUGCUCUUUCUUCGGUACGUCUCUCUCUCUCUUUCUGUUCUCAGCAACCGCUGCUCACAUGUUGUUCAAGAUCUCUGCUUUUUAUUCGAUUGUUUACCUUUUCCAGUGCCUAGAAUCUCAAACUGGAGCUUGAAAGGGGCAAAGAAGCUUGGAAUCAGAUGGAUUGGAAUGUUAACAAGGCUUUCAAAACCUACAAAGAAAUGGAACGCAAAGCAAUGAUGGAUAUGUCACUCCUUCCACACUCUGAUCCCACUGACAUUGCCUUAGGCUCCUCUUUUGACAACAACGACCGCUCCCCCCUAAACGCAAGAAGACUAUGACUUCAGUCUUCCUUAAAUACUUCGAGACCGCACCUGACAGCAAGACUCGCAAAUGCAAACUCUGUGGUCAAAGCUACUCCAUUGCAACCGCCACAGGUAAUCUUGGAAGGCAUCUGAAUAACCGACAUCCAGGAUAUGAUAAGGCAUCAGAUGUUGCAACCACCUCAGUACCACAUACACCACAAGUUGCUGCGAAACCCUCACAGUCCCAUUCCAGGCCACCGCAGAUUGAUUAUGAUCACUCCCUCCCUCUACCGUAGACGAAACAUGGCUGGGAAACUCCUUCAAGUUUGUUAACCCAUCCGUCCAGUUAUGGCCUGCCGAAAAGUACAAAGCAGUGCUCAAGGAGGUUUUCAGAAGCAUGCAGGGAGAUGUAAAGACAACACUGGAGCAUGUCCAGUCCAGAGUUUCGCUCACCUUAAGUUUCUGCCAUUUCAGAGCAUUGCAGCCACCAUUAUUUUAGAUCGAGCCAGAGCUGAUGCCAUUGUGUUUGUCCACCUCUAAUCAUCACUCUCGUCUCCAUCUCUUUCCUCCUUUAUUCCCGUGUUCUUCUUCUCCCUCUUUAUGAAGCUGUGCGUUGUUGUUUGGAGAUGCGAGACGCAAGCACCACCACCACCGUGAACCAUCUCACCUUAUUCCACCGGAGCCAUGCUUCAUCACCGAAGGAGCAGCCCAUGUCAUCACAGACCCGUUACCUGCCGUCACAUCCGUUACGUACCGGAUCUGCGAAAUGGAGAGCAUGAGCAGAGGGAGAGAAAGGCGUUCGAGGCGGAGCCGCACGUUCCCCACCACCACCGGUCUUAGAUCUGUACCGCCGUGAUCCCUUGGCCACCGUAGUUGAUCCAUAUUGUCGGAGAGCCAGCAAUGCUACGUCGUUAACUUCUCGUAUCGGUUGGUGAUGUGGAGCACGUGAUAAAUUAUGAUAAGUUCCUUAUUCCUAUUUUUCUUGUAUUACAAGUAACCGUUCUCAUCAUAAACCCUAUAAUUAUAUAUAUAUAUUAAUUAUGCCUCUGUCUUGUAUUAUUUAUAUUCGAUUUGAUGUGUCUUGGUGAGGAGUGGAGAUCCAUGGCGAAACCGUAGCUUUCUUGCUGAUAAAGUCAUUUUGUUUAUAGUCGGACUCGCUUCUGAUUCUGCCUUAUUGGCUAAGGUGAGGGUCUAUUCCGUAAAUCCCGUACCAGUGUAGAAUUCUCUCUAUCGUAGUUUAGAUUUCAAAUCAUGAUCCGUCUGUUUGAAUUGAGUCUUGAUUGUUAGUUAUUUCAUUCAUUGUAAAUUGGAACUAGGGGUCUAGAGGAUUCAACCUUUGAUUGGAUUGUGUGAUGUUAAGAAAUGCGAUAUAUAUAUGUAUGUACACAUAGUUAUGAGUAGGGACUAUGUGCGCGGGCGGGGGCUCAGAGAUGUCUGGGCUAGCGACGCUACUUUGAUUGUGCGGGCAGGGGUUCAGAGACGUCUGGACUUGCGAUGCUACUUGUGCGGGCGUGUGGUGCAUAGACGUUUGUACCAUGGAUGCUACUUGAGAGGGCGGGGGUACAGAGACAUACUGUACUAGCGACGCUACGUAUUAUAUAUCCAUAUGAGGAGAUGCGGGGUGUAUGGACUAGCUUUAUGCUAUCAUCGCAUUGUUUGGUUUGUGUGACGCGCUAGGCGUCGUGUGUGUUCAUGUUAGAGCUAAACUUCCAUAGUGGGAGUUCUAUUUACUCAAGUCAGUGGUUUGCGUGUUUAGUAUCCCAUACCUCACGGAGUGACUCCCCUGUUGCUCACCCCUCUUCUUCCCCCUUGCAGGUGAGUUUGCCGAGUUGUUGGAUAUCUGGACGGUUUGGUGUCUUGGGAUCAUCGUAUUUUAUUCGGUUUUAUAAAUCGGUUUAAUUUGGUAUUUUACGGUUAGUAGCACACCGUUCUCGAGAGAGGAGGAGACGGGUGUUACAAUUUGGUAUCAGAGCGGGGUUCCGUCCCGGCUCUGACCCGGGACGGCGAUUUAUGGGACUAAGAUUUCAAUGAUUUUCAAUGUUUUGGAAUUGGGGG